rnacentral:misc_RNA from 1 species
GAUGAAGAACGUAGCGAAAUGCGAUACUUGGUGUGAAUUGCAGAAUCCCGUGAACCAUCGAGUCUUUGAACGCAAGUUGCGCCCGAAGCCAUCAGGUUGAGGGCACGUCUGCCUGGGCGUCACAUAUCGUUGCCCAAUGCCUAUUGCAGUGCAAUAGGAAUUUCUAGGGCGAAUGAUGGCUUCCCGUGAGCGUUGUUGCCUCGCGGUUGGUUGAAAAUCGAGUCCUUGGUAGGGUGUGCCAUGGUAGAUGGUGGUCGAGUUAGAACGAUACCGAUCAUGUGCAUGCUCCCCAAAAUAUGGCCUCUAUGACCCACAUGCGUCUUUUGACGCUCAUGACGAGACCUCAGGUCAGGCGGGACUACCCGCUGAAUUUAAGCAUAUCAAUAAGCGGAGGA